GUCAAUAUUUUCACUUUGCACCAGCCCAAUGAGCGCAGGGCAAGCCUUCUCAGCUACAUAAGUUUUUUUCUCAUGUCCAAUAUCAAUUUCCACAAGGUACGCAGCCAUUGCCACCUGAGUCUCCUCACUCCCUGCCAUAUAUCAUUCGGAAGUAAACUGAUAUUAAUCAACAUCAAUUCAUUGUUUAUCAUUUCGCUCCAGGUAAUGCUUGUAUAGCAACUAUGCUUCAUAAACUUUGGAGAGAAAAGCAGUAAUGAAUUACCUUCUGCUAGAUGGCCCAGAAGAGGUUCCAAUAGUCCACUCUCUGCCAUUUGCUUGAUGUUCUCAGGACACUUCUCUAAAUUUCUUAAGAUUUGGUCUGAUGUUUCAGAUGCAAAGGAAUCCAACUCCCUGUUAUACUUUGCGGUAACUAACAUUAGUAUCGCCCCUCUAGCAGUCCCAAUCUUCUCACAUGCAUGUUGGGAUUUUGAAAGCUCAAGCAGUAAGGCUUGUGCUGCAUGUCUUACAGGCUGGUGACUGCUUCCCAAAAGUUUGAUUACGCAUGACAUAGUUAUUGUCUUCACAAUCAUUUCCUGUAAGACAACUUUGAAAUAUAAAAGUCUAUUGAAACAAGAAGUAGAACUGCUGUGUCUAGCUAGGACAAAUAAUCACAGCAGCGCAUAUCGUCUAAGGUAGUGUGCUAUUGCAUAAUAG
rnacentral:lncRNA from 1 species